rnacentral:rRNA from 1 species
AACAGUUGGAAACGACUGUUAAUACCGCAUAAGACCACAGAGUCGCAUGACUCAGGGGUAAAAACUCCGGUGGUAUGAGAUGGACCCGCGUUCGAUUAGCCAGUUGGCGGGGUAACGGCCCACCAAAGCGACGAUCGAUAGCCGAUUUGAGAGAAUGACCGGCCACAUUGGGACUGAGACACGGCCCAAACUCCUACGGGAGGCAGCAGUGGGGAAUAUUGCACAAUGGGGGGAACCCUGAUGCAGCGACGCCGCGUGAGUGAAGAAGUAUUUCGGUAUGUAAAGCUCUAUCAGCAGGGAAGAAGAUGACGGUACCUGAGUAAGAAGCCCCGGCUAACUACGUGCCAGCAGCCGCGGUAAUACGUAGGGGGCAAGCGUUAUCCGGAUUUACUGGGUGUAAAGGGAGCGCAGACGGCUAUGCAAGUCUGAAGUGAAAGCCCGGGGCUCAACCCCGGGAUUGCUUUGGAAACUGUGUAGCUAGAGUGUCGGAGAGGUAAGCAGAAUUCCCAGUGUAGCGGUGAAAUGC